GACGGCAGGGUUUGGCACCUCGAUGUCGGCUCAUCUCAUCCUGGGGCUGAAGAAGGUCCCAAGGGUUUGGCUGUUCGCCAAUUAAAGAGGUACGUGAGCUGGGUUUAGAACGUCGCGAGACAGUUCGGUCCCUAUCUGGUGUGGGCGAAGCAGAAUUGAGGGAAUCUGUCCUUAGUACGAGAGGACCGGGAUGGAUCCACCUCUAGUGUACGAGUUAUGGCGCCAGCCGUAGCGCUCGGUAGCUAUGUGGAGCAUGGAUAAACGCUGAAUGCAUCUAAGCGUGAAGCCAGACCCAAGAUUAUUUCUGCCAGUGAGACUCCUCGAAGACCACGAGGUUGAUAGGGUGGAUAUGUAAGUGCAGUAAUGUGCUCAGUUGACCACUACUAAUCAGUCCCUUGGCUUGACCAUAAAA
rnacentral:rRNA from 1 species